UAGGGAAUCUUCGGCAAUGGGGGGAACCCUGACCAAGCAACGCCGCGUGGGUGAAGAAGGUUUUCGGAUCGUAAAGCUCUUUUGUUAGGGAAGAACGAGUGUGAGAAUGGAAAGUUCAUACUGUGACGGUACUUAACCAGAAAGGACCGGCUAAUAACGUGCCAGCAGCCGCGGUAAUACGUAAGGUCCGAGCGUUGUCCGGAAUCAUUGGGCGUAAAGGGUACGUAGGCGGGUAAGCAAGUUAGAAGUGAAAUCCUGUAGCUCAACUACAGUAAGCUUUUAAAACUGCUCAUCUUGAGAUAUGGAAGGGAAAGUGGAAUUCCUAGUGUAGCGGUGAAAUGCGCAGAUAUUAGGAGGAAUACCGGUGGCGAAGGCGACUUUCUGGCCAUAAUCUGACGCUGAGGUACGAAAGCGUGGGUAGCAAACAGG
rnacentral:rRNA from 1 species